GAUGAACGCUGGCGGUCUGCUUAACACAUGCAAGUCGAACGAACUCUUCGGAGUGAGUGGCGGACGGGUGAGUAACGCGUGAGAAUCUGCCUUCAGGUCUGGGACAACAGAAGGAAACUUCUGCUAAAUCCGGGAUGAGCCUUUUAGGCAAAAAGAUAAAAUUGCCUGGAGAUGAGCUCGCGUCUGAUUAGCUAGUUGGUAGUGGU
rnacentral:rRNA from 1 species